rfam:Sulfitobacter sp. AM1-D1, complete genome.
AGGUCGGAAGGGGUGCGGUGGGACGCAUCCCAGCAUUGACCGGAACGCUCCGCUCUUAGAGCAGCGCCUCACGGCCCCGGUGAGGUCGCGCU